rnacentral:lncRNA from 1 species
CCUUUGACCUCCACCGUUGACCCCACCUCGAGCUUGUCCAGAUACUGCGACAUGACCCCACCAUUGGGAAACUUGGGAUGCACCCCACCAAAGUAGACCUUCACCACAAGGUCGAAAUGGCCCACCGCAUCGACCAUCGUGGUCGGAGUGUAGGCCCUCAUGCACAGCUUUCCGUCCACGGUAGCACAUAAAAAGAUGUGCUUCCCAACGGGAAGCCCCAUCUGCUGGUCCUCAAAGGGGAGCGCAAAUCGGAACAACCGAACAUCAUGAGACAAUGACUCCUUCUUGAUCAGCUUGCACGCGAUUUUCUCACGCGGGAUCAAUGCCACGCUACGCUGUUGUUGAAUCAUCGCCGUCUCAAUGAUGGGAGCCAACUGAGAGAAGGGAGCCAAAUUCGAGGCGCCGUGGACGGAGCUGUUGGGAGACGAAGCAUUCGAGGGGACGUUUACGAGCUCUCCAAUGCGGUAGUCCUCGAGGAGCUUUCGUGCCUUGUCGGAGUGGAUAGCCUCGAACUCUUCGGUGCAGUCAGUGCCAGCAUUGAUGAGGAUGCUGUCGGCCCCACCAGGGUGGUCCUUGAGGAAGCGUGUGCAGUCGUAGACAUGGCCGUGGACGAUGAUCCACGCCGAUUCAGGGGAGUUGUGCUUCUUAACGUCGGCGGGUGAAAAUGUCUUGGAUGAAGUGUUCAUAAAGGGAGUGGAGACACUCUUCUUUAGUGUCGGGUUAGCCUCCGAGGUGAUCAUCUCGAGAUGCUUCUCCUUAGCCAUCCAUCCGCCCGAUUUGUUGCCCGGAACCGUUGGAUGCUCGAACACAAUUCCGAUCUCGCCCUUGUGCCGCUUGCACACGUUGGUUUUGAUCCUGAACCAGCAGUUGUUCAUCAUGCCCUGCAUCCGGAAAAUAAAAAAGUUUAAUAUACAUGCAGCACUUUAUACGUACGCAAGUCUUUGUAGCUAGGUAGAGGAACAUUAUUUUUGGUUACGUCAUUAGAUGAAUGAAAUCCUAAACUAAUUUAUUCCUAGUUGACCUUUAAAAUAAUUAUUUUUUCUAUUGCAAGUACAUAUAUAAGAAUAAGACUGACGUGAUUAUCAUCAUAUGAAGGUCUGACUUGAAUCUUGUCUAUAAAUUAUUUUACUCAACAUACACCUAUCAAGCUAGAUGCUACUAGGACUAUAUAUAACAGCAAAAUUUUAAAUUAUUUUGAACGAAACAAUGGACAAAAUUUCAAUUUUAUUCAUUUUAAAUAAAAUUUCAUCUAUCUAGAGCUUUUUUCCUCAUGACAUGUUAGCCAAUAGGGUUAUGGGUUCAGAGAAAUGCAGCCCUACGCCUCGUAUAACCUAUGAAUAGAUGCAAUAUUAAUGCAACUACAUUCGAAACUUCAUCUCAAAUAAGAUGUCAAAAAGGCACAAGAUCAUCCAGAUCGCUAAGCAAUCCAAUAACGAUCAUCUACGACGGUGAUCGUCCGAAGUGUGUGGCUAGAUGAACAUGUGAGCUUAGAGGCACACAAUUCCACACUCUGUGGGCUGCAAUUUUUAUAUAUACAAAUAAUUUAGUAAUAGUAUUAUAAUUUAUAAUAUAAUAUUGACAUCAGCAGUGUCCCUUUCGUCUCCCCAAUAGCCACACCACACUUGCAACGGAAAGUACAACUACAAACAAACACCUCUUUGCCAACUUGCCCCUUGCUUCUUCCAAUUAUAUAAUUAUAUCAUAUAGUUUUAUAUCAUAUAUUAUAAAAUAAAUUAUUCAAUUGGUUGGCAGAAAAGCGUUUUUGUCCGGUUUUCAUUUGGAGCUAUCUACGUUAGGUUGCGACUAAUAUAUUAGAAAAAUAAUCAGAAGCCAAAGAGUUAGGAAGAUAUUAUUCAGCACGGACACGUGGAGCAACGUGAGAGGGGGAAUGGAGAUUUUGCUAGCCAGCUGGAAUUGAAAGACGUAGGAGAAGUAGUGAAAUCGACAUAAUCGACAUAUUAUAGUCUAACGAUUUUAAUUUCAUUAAAUAAGUGAAAUCAGGUAAAAUUUUGAUUAAAAUUUUUAAAUUUUGUAAAAGUAAUAAUUUUUAAUAUAUUUUACGAUUCUAAAUAUUAUUCAUUUAUAUUUUUUAUUACCAAUUUGGUUUAGAAGGAAAAAAUAAUAAGUGUUAUUAGUACUAUUUAUUUUAUUGAUAGAUUUCAAAUAUUUCAGUAAUAAAUGAAAAUAAAAAUAAUAAAAUCAAUAAAUUAUGACUUAUUUUCUAAUCUUUACUCUAGAUAAUAAACUUAAUCAACACUUAACUACUUAUAUAUAUUUUACGUCACAUUUCAAUCAACGGUUUCACUACUAUCAAAUACGUACCAUGAGAUUCCAGAUGAGCUUCUCGGGUUGGGUGUUGAGGGUCUGGUCCCAAGCUCGAACCGCAAUCUCUUUCGCGGCCAACAGGUCCAGCACUUCGACCUCUAGCGACCAGAAGCACCAACACCAAUACUUCCCGUACUUGUUCGGCUUCUCCUGAUGGUCGACCUCGCACAGCUGCCACGUGUCUCCUCCGUCCAUUGUUACUUCCACACGUGUCACCUUCUUCCCACCCCCUAUACAUAUGAAAACGACAAAUAUACGUAAAGUUGGCAAGUUGUACGCCAGCGUUGCGGCUAACUAUGUCUACACAUUAGCGUGUGAUGCAUGAAUUUGUGCUACUCUUUUUUUCAGCUAGGACGGAGACAUCGCAAAAUUUAAUGUUUUCUUUAAUUCGUUGAAGCCCGUGAUUCGCUAGAAUCUCUCCACUUGAUCCCCCUUCUCCCAGCAGAAUAAAUUAAAAUAAAAAGAUUCCUGUCUUCACUUGGGUGAUUAGAGACGUAUCGUUAUCGUCUACUUUGUUAGCUGCUAGUUAGUCAAUUUUUUCAUUAAUUAGUAAAUAAUUAAUUACCUGAAUAUGCGUAACCUUUCAACGUGUACGGCCUUUGAGUAGUCCAGGAGUUGAUCGGCAGCACCUCUUCAUGAGACGGCGUCGUAAUCACCGAGUUUAUGUUCAGCUCGUUUAUUAUGUACUCCGGCUUGUACCACCAGCCU